rnacentral:tRNA from 1 species
GCCCCGGUAGUGUAGCGGUUAAGCACCCUGGCCUUUCAAGCCAGUAACCCGGGUUCGAAUCCCGGCCGGGGCA